UCCUUUCCCACGUCUGAGAGAUGAUAAUGCCAAGGAGGACUUGGCUGAGCUGUGCUCACGCUGUACACAGGCACUAUCACGAGCACUGUGAGUACUGCAGUAAACGCGUCCCCUGAGGAACCCACAUCAGCUGCAACAAUCACGAGCCUCAGCACUACUUCCACCACCAUGGUCCCGACCACCACCAGCAUGAGCCCAACCACCAGCAUCACCUCAAGCCCGCCCACCACCUUGAGCCCGAACACCACCUUGAGCCCAAACACCACCUUGAGCCUGAACACCACCUCGAGCCCGAACACCACCUCGAGCCCGAACACCACCUCGAGCCCGAACACCACCACCACCACGAGGCCAACCACUACCACCACCACCACCACAACCACCACCACAACCACAAGCCCAACCACCACCACCACCCCAGGAGUCUGUGAAAAUGGAGGCACUUGGGUCAACGGCCAAUGCGUGUGUCCCCCGGGAUACACGGGCACCACCUGCGGUUCCGUCGAGAGCAGCAUCGAGACCAAAGCUGGUAGGGAGCCCUCUGCAUCCACCUCCAGCCCUUGGGGGGUAUAUCUUCUGGGGAGAACCAGGAGGGGGCUUCCUCAUGGGGAGGGCAUGGUCUCUGAGCAGGGCACGAACCCACAGCACCUAAAGGUGUUGGCACUGAGUUCACUAAACAGGGUGUUAUCAUGGAGCACCCAAAGGUGUGGGCAAGGUGUUUCCCAACAAGCACAAGGUCCUACAGCACCCAAAGGUGUGGGCAAGGUGUUGUCCAACUAGUGCCUUGUCCUGGGGCACCCAAAGAUACGAGUAAGGAGUUCCCCAAUCACCACAAGCUCCCUCAGAACCCAACGGUGUGCAGAGGAGCAUGGGGUGAAGCAAGGAACCACAGCUGAGGUCCAAGCAGCAGACAGAAGUAGUCCUGGAACAGGUCCCCAUUCACAAACCUCCAAAGGACUGGGGGCCUGCCCUUAAAUGCCCCUCCCUGCAUCAAUAAGCAGGGGCUGGAGGUCUCAGGUGAGGCUGGUUGGGGCUGUUAAGGCUCAUUAGUGCCUUCAGGGCGCAGCAGCAAUGCCCAUGGUCAUGCUGGGUUUGUCUUCUACUCCUGAGUCCCAUCUCCUGCCUUCUCCCAAAGAAACCAACGUGUCCGUGAGCGUGGAGCUGCGGGUCACCAACCAGAAUUUCACCGAGGACCUCCGAAACGAAAGCUCCGAAGUCUACAAGAGCUUCGUCCUCAGGUUCACCCUGCAGGUGGGAUGCUGUUCUUGUCCCCCUGGGGUCUUCUCUGUCCUUGUUAGGGGUGUGCUUGCUUUGGGGGGAAUCCAAGGUGGGGAAGGAACUUGUGAGGGAAGGGAGCGGGACACCAAUAACCGGCCUGUGGCCUCCUUCUCUUCCAGAUGGAAAUCUUCUACCGCAACAUUGAAGGCUACCAGGGCAUCAAGAUCCUGAGUCUGUCGUGAGUGUUGGGCUGCUGGCCUCUGGGAAAGGGUUUCAGGGUGCUCCAGUGGGCAUUGAGUGCUUUGAUUACCACUGAGGUGCUCCAACUGAUAUUGGGGUGCUUCAACUGGCCUCAUGCUGGUCAAUGAUGAGGGGAUAUUGGGGUGCUCCAACUGCUAUUGGGGCUACAGCAAUGGGCAUUGGGGUGUCCCCUCAGACCGGGCAGCAUCGUGGUGAAUCACACCGUCAUCAUUGCUGUGCUGGUGACCGCCGAUACCAUGGAGAAGAUCGGUAACAUCACCAAGAAGGUGCAGGAGGAGAUUGACCAAGCAGCGACCCAGCA
rnacentral:lncRNA from 1 species